GGCGGACGGGUUGAGUAACGCGUGGGAAUGUGCCCUUCUCUACGGAAUAGCCACUGGAAACGGUGAGUAAUACCGUAUACGCCCUCAGGGGGAAAGAUUUAUCGGAGAAGGAUCAGCCCGCGUUAGAUUAGGUAGUUGGUGGGGUAACGGCCUACCAAGCCUACGAUCUAUAGCUGGUUUUAGAGGAUGAUCAGCCACACUGGGACUGAGACACGGCCCAGACUCCUACGGGAGGCAGCAGUAGGGAAUCUUGGACAAUGGGGGCAACCCUGAUCCAGCCAUGCCGCGUGAGUGAAGAAGGCCCUAGGGUCGUAAAGCUCUUUCGCCUGUGAUGAUAAUGACAGUAGCAGGUAAAGAAACCCCGGCUAACUCCGUGCCAGCAGCCGCGGUAAUACGGAGGGGGUUAGCGUUGUUCGGAAUUACUGGGCGUAAAGCGCGC
rnacentral:rRNA from 1 species